rnacentral:tRNA from 1 species
GGGCCCGUAGCUUAGUGGAUCAGAGCGUGUGGCUACGGACCACAAGGUCGGGGGUUCGAGUCCCUCCGGGCCCG